rnacentral:rRNA from 1 species
GACGAACGCUGGCGGCGUGCUUAACACAUGCAAGUCGAACGGUAAGGCCCUACGGGGUACACGAGUGGCGAACGGGUGAGUAACACGUGGGUGAUCUGCCCUGCACUUCGGGAUAAGCCUGGGAAACUGGGUCUAAUACCGGAUAGGACCCUGGGAUGCAUGUCCUGGGGUGGAAAGCUUUUGCGGUGUGGGAUGGGCCCGCGGCCUAUCAGCUUGUUGGUGGGGUGAUGGCCUACCAAGGCGACGACGGGUAGCCGGCCUGAGAGGGUGACCGGCCACACUAGGACUGAGAUACUGCCCAGACUCCUACGGGAGGCAGCAGUGGGGAAUAUUGCACAAUGGGCGCAAGCCUGAUGCAGCGACGCCGCGUGAGGGAUGACGGCCUUCGGGUUGUAAACCUCUUUCAGCACCGACGAAGCGCAAGUGACGGUAGGUGCAGAAGAAGGACCGGCCAACUACGUGCCAGCCGCCGCGGUAA